GCAGAGAUGCUUUGGUGCCUUCGGGAACUCUGAGACAGGUGCUGCAUGGCUGUCGUCAGCUCGUGUUGUGAAAUGUUGGGUUAAGUCCCGCAACGAGCGCAACCCUUAUCCUUUGUUGCCAGCGGUCCGGCCGGGAACUCAAAGGAGACUGCCAGUGAUAAACUGGAGGAAGGUGGGGAUGACGUCAAGUCAUCAUGGCCCUUACGAGUAGGGCUACACACGUGCUACAAUGGCAUAUACAAAGAGAAGCGACCUCGCGAGAGCAAGCGGACCUCAUAAAGUAUGUCGUAGUCCGGAUUGGAGUCUGCAACUCGACUCCAUGAAGUCGGAAUCGCUAGUAAUCGUGGAUCAGAAUGCCACGGUGAAUACGUUCCCGGGCCUUGUACACACCGCCCGUCACACCAUGGGAGUGGGUUGCAAAAGAAGUAGGUAGCUUAACCUUCGGGAGGGCGCUUACCACUUUGUGAUUCAUGACUGGGGUGAAGUCGUAACAAGGUAACCGUAGGGGAACCUGCGGUUGGAUCACCUCCUUACCUUAAAGAA
rnacentral:rRNA from 1 species